GAUGAACGCUGGCGGCGUGCCUAAUACAUGCAAGUCGAGCGGUAAGGCCUCUUCGGAGGUACACGAGCGGCGGACGGCUGAGUAACACGUAGGAACGUACCCCAAACUGAGGGAUAAGCACCAGAAAUGGUGUCUAAUACCGCAUGUGCUCUAAGGAGUAAAGCUUCGGCGGUUUGGGAGCGGCCUGCGUCUGAUUAGCUAGAUGGUGAGGUAAUGGCUCACCAUGGCGACGAUCAGUAGCUGGUCUGAGAGGAUGAUCAGCCAGACUGGGACUGAGACACGGCCCAGACUCCUACGGGAGGCAGCAGUAGGGAAUUUUCCACAAUGGACGAAAGUCUGAUGGAGCAACGCCGCGUGCAGGAUGAAUGCCUUCGGGUUGUAAACUGCUUUUAUAUGUGGCGAAUAUGACGGUAGCAUAUGAAUAAGGAUCGGCUAACUCCGUGCCAGCAGCCGCGGUCAUACGGAGGAUCCAAGCGUUAUCCGGAAUUACUGGGCGUAAAGAGUUGCGUAGGCGGCAUAGUAAGCAGAUAGUGAAAGCGUGUGGCUCAACCAUACUCACAUUAUCUGAACUGCUAAGCUAGAGGAUGAGAGAGGUCACUGGAAUUCCUGGUGUAGGAGUGAAAUCCGUAGAUAUUAGGAGGAACACCAAUGGCGUAGGCAGGUGACUGGCUCAUUCCUGACGCUCAGGCACGAAAGCGUGGGUAGCAAACG
rnacentral:rRNA from 1 species